rnacentral:rRNA from 1 species
AUUGAACGCUGGCGGCAGGCCUAACACAUGCACGUCGAGCGAGCGGCGGACGGGUGAGUAAUGUCUGGGAAACUGCCUGAUGGAGGGGGAUAACUACUGGAAACGGUAGCUAAUACCGCAUAACAUCAGAUGUGCCCAGAUGGGAUUAGCUGGUAGGUGGGGUAACGGCUCACCUAGGCGACGAUCCCUAGCUGGUCUGAGAGGAUGACCAGCCACACUGGAACGGAGACACGGGCCAGACUCCUACGGUAGGCAGCAGUGGGGAAUAUUGCACAAGGGGCGCAAGCCUGAUGCAGCCACGCCGCGUGUGUGAAGAAGGCCUUCGGGUUGUAAAGCCCUUUCAGCGGGGAGGCGUUACCCGCAGAAGAAGCACCGGCUAACUCCGUGCCAGCAGCCGCGGUAAUUC